AUCUAUCUCUGGUUCCGGUUCGAGUGGCAGUUCUCGCUGGGCGCGAUGAUCGCCAACGUCCACGACAUCGUGCUGACGCUCGGCUUCAUGUCGAUCACCCAGAUCGAAUUCGACCUGACCAGCAUCNNNNNNGGCUAUUCGCUGAACGACACGGUCGUCAUCUAUGACCGCAUUCGCGAAAUGCUGAGGCGGUACAAGAAAAUGCCGAUGCCGGAACUGCUCAACACGUCGAUAAACG
rnacentral:misc_RNA from 1 species